CAUCGCCUUCCUCCCCAGGGGGGUCACCUUCAGAGCGCGGGCCUCUGGGUUCCGAGGGUGCUGGUGACCUGAGAAGAAGGGAGGGGACAGAGGAGGAGACACACCUGAUCAGCCCGGGAGACUUUGGAGGAGGCGGGCCGGCCGGGAGGAAGUGGCGGGGAGGAGGGACCGGAGCACCCCAGGAUCGAAGAGGGCGCACGGGCCCGGCCCUCCCACGCGCCCUCCAGGGACCCGGCAGCCAGACAGACGGACAGGCGGACCGCUAGGGAGCUCAAGUACCCGGACACACGCACGAGCGCAGAACAAAGGGCCGGACAUGCUCCAGCCCGCUCCGCCUGCGCCUCGGCCUUGCGCGCGGGGGCCCGGGUUACCUGCGCAGUGCCCUUGGUGUGGUGGAAGCAAGGUGCCAUGUGAUAAGUAAGCCUCCAGAGAGGCCUGCAUGGCAGGAUCCAAUGUCUUUAGCCAACAGCAUCUGGGAACCUGAGACCUGCCAACACCCUUGUGAGUGAGCCUGGAAGUGGACCUCCUGCUCUUGAACCUUGAGGUGACUAUAGUGCUGGCUGACACCUUGACUGCAGUCCCUGAGCUGGGGGGCCCAGCUGAUCUACUCCCAGAAUCCCCCCUACUAAAACAGUGAUAUAAUAAAUGCUUAUUGUUUCAAGCUGGUAACUUUUGGAAUGCAUUCACUGAAAAAAAUUAGAAUAUCAAACUAUAAACCGUUUACUUAGUCAACUUUUUGGGGAACUAAUAUGGCCAUAAAUAUCAAACCUCCUACAAUUUUGCACAUUCUUUGACUUUGUAGUUCUACAUCUAUAAACUUCUCUUAAGGGAAAUCAUGGAUGCCAACAAAGAAAUAGUUACAAAAAUGUUCAGCAGAGGAGCACUAUUUAUAAUGGCAAAUUGGUGGUGAUCCAUAUAUCCAAAGAUGGGAUUGAGUGACUAAAUCAUGGAAUCACCUCUAAUAGAACAGGAUGGGAUUCAUUAGUGAGUUUUAAAAACAGUAAAGGGAUUUGCCACUGGCAUUUGAAAAGACAAAAUAAAAUGAAAUAGAAUGAAAAAUAUCAGAGUAAGGACAAGUUUUGCUUCAUAAGAAAUUUAGCUUUGUAUAUGUACAUGUGUACAUUGUGAUAUUAAAUUCCUUACUCUGAGUCAUGGUCCAAAUUUUGAAUAACUGCAGUGUUAAUAAAAGAUGUAUAUAAAACUACUUAGGCCAGGCACAGUGACUCAUGCCUGUAAUCCCAGCACUUUGGGAGGCCAAGGCGGGCGGAUCACCUGAGGUCAGGAAUUCAAGACCAGCCUGGCCAACGUGGUGAAACCCUGUCUCUACAAAAAUACAAAAAUAGGCUGGGUGUGGUGGCUCAUGCCUGUAAUCCCAGCACUUUGGGAGGCCGAGGUGGGCAGAUCACCUGAGGUCAGGAGUUUGUAGACCAGCCUGGCCAACAUGGUGAAACCCCAUCUCUACUAAAAAUACAAAAAUUAGCUGGGCGUGGUGUCAGGCGCCUCUAAUCCCAGCUACUCGGGAGGCUGAGGCAGGAGAAUCGCUUGAACCCGGGAGGUGGAGGUUGCAGGGAGCCAAGAUCGCGCCAUUGCACUCCAGCCUGAGGGACAAGAGCGAGACUUUGUCUCAAAAAAAAAAAAAAAAAAAAAAUUAGCUGGGCAUGAUGGCAUGUGCCUGUAAUCGCAGCUAUCAGGAGGCAGGGGAAUCACUUGAAUCUGGGAGGCAGAGGUUGCAGUGAGCUGAGAUCACACCACUGCACUCCAGCCUGGGCAACAGAGUGAGACUGUCUCAAAAAAUAAAUAAAUACAACUACUUAAUGACAUAAAAUGUAACCAAAAUAUAUUAAGUUAUAAAAUGUAUUCAUAAUGUUACAAAAUGAUCGAAUUUUGUGAAAACCCAAACUAUGUGAAAAAAAUGGAAAGUAAAUACACC
rnacentral:lncRNA from 1 species